GGUUAAGCGACUAAGCGUACACGGUGGAUGCCCUGGCAGUCAGAGGCGAUGAAGGACGUGCUAAUCUGCGAAAAGCGCCGGCGAGGUGAUAUGAACCCUUGACCCGGCGAUGUCCGAAUGGGGAAACCCAGUGCAAUCCGUUGCACUAUCGUUAACUGAAUACAUAGGUUAACGAGGCGAACCGGGGGAACUGAAACAUCUAAGUACCCCGAGGAAAAGAAAUCAACCGAGAUUCCCCCAGUAGCGGCGAGCGAACGGGGAGCAGCCCGGAGUCUGAAUCAGCUUGUGUGUUAGUGGAACGGUCUGGAAAGUCCGACGGUACAGGGUGAUAGUCCCGUACACGAAAAUGCACAUGCUGUGAACUCGAAGAGUAGGGCGGGACACGUGGUAUCCUGUCUGAAUAUGGGGGGACCAUCCUCCAAGGCUAAAUACUCCUGACUGACCGAUAGUGAACCAGUACCGUGAGGGAAAGGCGAAAAGAACCCCGGACUGGAGGACCGAACCGACUAAUGUUGAAAAAUUAGCGGAUGACCUGUGGCUGGGGGUGAAAGGCCAAUCAAACCGGGAGAUAGCUGGUUCUCCCCGAAAGCUAUUUAGGUAGCGCCUCGUGAACUCAUCUUCGGGGGUAGAGCACUGUUUCGGCUAGGGGGCCAUCCCGGCUUACCAACCCGAUGCAAACUACGAAUACCGAAGAAUGUUAUCACGGGAGACACACGGCGGGUGCUAACGUCCGUCGUGAAGAGGGAAACAACCCAGACCGCCAGCUAAGGUCCCAAAGUCAUGGUUAAGUGGGAAACGAUGUGGGAAGGCACAGACAGCCAGGAUGUUGGCUUAGAAGCAGCCAUCAUUUAAAGAAAGCGUAAUAGCUCACUGGUCGAGUCGGCCUGCGCGGAAGAUGUAACGGGGCUAAACCAUGCACCGAAGCUGCGGCAGCGACACUAUGUGUUGUUGGGUAGGGGAGCGUUCUGUAAGCCGUUGAAGGUGUGCUGUGAGGCAUGCUGGAGGUAUCAGAAGUGCGAAUGCUGACAUAAGUAACGAUAAAGCGGGUGAAAAGCCCGCUCGCCGGAAGACCAAGGGUUCCUGUCCAACGUUAAUCGGGGCAGGGUGAGUCGACCCCUAAGGCGAGGCCGGGCGACGGUUGUCCCGGUUUAAGCAUGUAGGCGGAGGUUCCAGGUAAAUCCGGUACCUUAUUAACGCUGAGGUGUGAUGACGAGGCACUACGGUGCUGAAGUGAUAAAUGCCCUGCUUCCAGGAAAAGCCUCUAAGCAUCAGGUAACACGAAAUCGUACCCCAAACCGACACAGGUGGUCAGGUAGAGAAUACCAAGGCGCUUGAGAGAACUCGGGUGAAGGAACUAGGCAAAAUGGUGCCGUAACUUCGGCGGGUGGAGCUGAAAUCAGUCGAAGAUACCAGCUGGCUGCAACUGUUUAUUAAAAACACAGCACUGUGCAAACACGAAAGUGGACGUAUACGGUGUGACGCCUGCCCGGUGCCGGAAGGUUAAUUGAUGGGGUUAGCGGCAACGCGAAGCUCUUGAUCGAAGCCCCGGUAAACGGCGGCCGUAACUAUAACGGUCCUAAGGUAGCGAAAUUCCUUGUCGGGUAAGUUCCGACCUGCACGAAUGGCGUAAUGAUGGCCAGGCUGUCUCCACCCGAGACUCAGUGAAAUUGAACUCGCUGUGAAGAUGCAGUGUACCCGCGGCAAGACGGAAAGACCCCGUGAACCUUUACUAUAGCUUGACACUGAACAGUGGAGCCAACCUUGAAAUACCACCCUUUAAUGGCUGGUGUUCUAACGUAGACCCGUUACCCGGGUUGCGGACAGUGUCUGGUGGGUAGUUUGACUGGGGCGGUCUCCUCCCAAAGAGUAACGGAGGAGCACGAAGGUUGGCUAAUCCUGGUCGGACAUCAGGAGGUUAGUGCAAUGGCAUAAGCCAGCUUGACUGCGAGCGUGACGGCGCGAGCAGGUGCGAAAGCAGGUCAUAGUGAUCCGGUGGUUCUGAAUGGAAGGGCCAUCGCUCAACGGAUAAAAGGUACUCCGGGGAUAACAGGCUGAUACCGCCCAAGAGUUCAUAUCGACGG
rnacentral:rRNA from 1 species